AUUGAACGCUGGCGGCAGGCCUAACACAUGCAAGUCGAACGGUAACAGGAAGAUGCUUGCUUCUUUGCUGACGAGUGGCGGACGGGUGAGUAAUGUCUGAGAAACUGCCUGAUGGAGGGGGAUAACUACUGGAAACGGUAGCUAAUACCGCAUAACGUCGCAAGACCAAAGAGGGGGACCUUCGGGCCUCUUGCCAUCGGCUGUGCCCAGGUGGGAUUAGCUAGUAGGUGGGGUAACGGCUCACCUAGGCGACGAUCCCUAGCUGGUCUGAGAGGGUGACCAGCCACACUGGAACUGAGACACGGUCCAGACUCCUACGGGAGGCAGCAGUGGGGAAUAUUGCACAAUGGGCGCAAGCCUGAUGCAGCCAUGCCGCGUGUAUGAAGAAGGCCUUCGGGUUGUAAAGUACUUUCGGCGGGGAGGAAGGGAGUAAAGUUAAUACCUUUGCUCAUUGACGUUACCCGCAGAAGAAGCACCGGCUAACUCCGUG
rnacentral:rRNA from 1 species